rnacentral:rRNA from 1 species
AUUGAACGCUGGCGGCAGGCUUAACACAUGCAAGUCGAGCGGAGAUGAGGUGCUUGCACCUUAUCUUAGCGGCGGGCGGGUGAGUAAUGCUUAGGAAUCUGCCUAUUAGUGGGGGACAGCAUUCCGAAAGGAAUGCUAAUACCGCAUACGUCCUACGGGAGAAAGCAGGGGAUCUUCGGACCUUGCGCUAAUAGAUGAGCCUAAGUCGGAUUAGCGAGUUGGUGGGGUAAAGGCCUACCAAGGCGACGAUCUGUAGCGGGUCUGAGAGGAUGAUCCGCCACACUGGGACUGAGACACGGCCCAGACUCCUACGGGAGGCAGCAGUGGGGAAUAUUGGACAAUGGGGGGAACCCUGAUCCAGCCAUGCCGCGUGUGUGAAGAAGGCCUUAUGGUUGUAAAGCACUUUAAGCGAGGAGGAGGCUACUGAGACUAAUACUCUUGGAUAGUGGACGUUACUCGCAGAAUAAGCACCGGCUAACUCUGUGCCAGCCGCCGCUGUAAAAC